rnacentral:tRNA from 1 species
GCACUGGUGGUUCAGUGGUAGAAUCCUUGCCUUCCGUGCCGGAGACCCAGGUUCAAUUCCCAGUCAGUACA